UUGGCCCAUCCGAAAGGCGGGCUGAAGAUACAAGCUGAGAUUGGGGGAAAUUGUUAAUGGAUGAAAAAUAUCAUGUAAUUUUUGUCAGCCUCUCCUAAAGGCCUCCAAGGAAGAUAAUCCUCUCAUAUCCAUGGGAAGGGCGUUCCACAACCUAGGGACAACAACUGAAAAGGCCUGAUCCCAGGUUGCCACCAGAUGAACUGAAGACGGACCUCUCUUGAUUAUCUCAACGAGCGGUGGGGAUCUUGUAGAGAAAGGCACUCUCUCAGAUCAGGAUGAGAGCGGUGCUCCAGAACACAACCAAUCCACCAAAGUGAACUAGGAGGAGUUGAGAGCUCAUGUUUUCCCUGAUUCUGAGACCUGGAGGAUGGGGCAAAGGACUCCUCAGAAGCCACACACCUCUUCCUCAGACCAACAGAAAUCCGGUCCAGCUCCUUCCUUCCUUCCUGAGAUUCUGCCAGAUCUUGCCUGCAUGCUACCAAGCCUAUCUGGGCAGCCUUAUGGGCGAGGGACUCCCAAGGUAACCAGAGGGUGCGAACUUUUGUGCUGCUUCAGUGCUAUAGCACAGGGGUUCCCCACCUUGGGGUUCCCAGCUGCUAGACUAUGUGAGGUUUAGGGUGGUUUAGUAUGCUCUGUUUUGAGGAUAAUUGAACUUGUAGGAGUUUGUCGAACUUUUACACAUGCUGCCAACAGGAAAAAACAAACCAUAAAGCCUCCGUAACA